UACGGGGGGGGCAAGCGUUGUUCGGAAUUACUGGGCGUAAAGGGCGCGUAGGCGGGAUGGCAAGUCGGUCGUGAAAGCCUUCGGCUCAACCGAAGAACGUCGGCCGAUACUGCCGUUCUUGAGGGAUGCAGAGGAGACUGGAAUUCCCGGUGUAGCGGUGAAAUGUGUAGAGAUCGGGAGGAACACCGGUGGCGAAGGCGGGUCUCUGGGCAUCUCCUGACGCUGAGGCGCGAAAGCGUGGGGAGCAAACAGG
rnacentral:rRNA from 1 species